GUGAGCUCUAGAUGGGGCUGUGCGCUCUUCCAUCCGGUGCCGUACAAGACACCACAGAUGGGGAUUGCUGUUGUAGUCCAUUCCCACCUGGCCACUAAGAGGUCAGGUAGGAUGAGACAGACUGACGUGUGGUGCACGCCCCGCACCAGCGAGUCCAUCUCGUACUUCAACUGCAAUGAUCAGCUUAACUAGCCUACAUGGUUAUCCACGAGAGGCGCGUAGUAGCCAGACGGAGGCGGAGAUGGCGAACGCUAGUCGCACCGGGUCGCCGACCGCUCCCCUGCUGCUCUUCCCCGACAUGCGGCUCGGCUCUCCCUUCGCCUCUGGUGGACAGAACCAACUCCAGUGUAGAUCAACUUAAUUAGCCAACUUGGUUUCUCGCACCAACUAGGGCACCUGCAAUCACCAAGGUCCUAAAGCCAUAUGUUCUGAAGAUGCACUUCUAAAGCAACUUUGCGGCCAUGCCAAACACCAGUUUUGUCAUUAUGUCAGCGACGGGGCUAUGCGCUCUUUCGUCCGGUGUCGUACAAGACACCGCAGAUGGGGACUGCUGUCUUCGUCCAUUCCCACCUGGCCUCUGAGGAUUUGGUACAACAUGAUCACCUAUGCAGAGGAGAAGAGGUUCAUUAUGCCAGGCAAGGUGCAUGGUGGUAGGCUCAGUCUUCGGCCUCGUCAUCUUCCAUUGGCCCCGCUGUAGAGCCACAUAGGCGGCGAUGUUGGGCAUCGCCUAGAAGACAACCAUGGUGAGCUCCCCCAGCACCUCUCCUUUCUCUGCUCCUCGACUCCCGCUGCUCUGACCUUGUGGUCAUCGAGCCACGGCUUUCGUUGCUCUUGGUUCACAGCCAUCAUGAUGCCAUGUCAAAUGGAUAAGUUGCGAUGAUAUUGACCUGUUGUUUAGUGCAUUGUUCUCUCUCUCUGUGUGUGUGUGUGUGUGUGUGAUAAACUUUUCUUCUUUAUCGCCUGCUUUAUUGGUGAACAUCACCUUUGAUGAGCAUGGGCGUGUGGAUGGAGACUAAAACAAGAUGGCGAGCAGCAACACGCCUGACUUCAUCAACCUGUGUUCUUCCUAGUCUCUGAUCCGAUGGCUUAUGCGACCACCUCACCAUGUCCAAAUAUAAGUCAUUGUUGCAUGGAAGGUGAGCUAUGGCUGCUUCUAUGCUUUAGACUUGUUCCAGGGAUCAGAAGUUUGAAUCUGUGACUUUGCUUGUGCAUGUUCUGUUAUUGUUGGAUUAAGCAUGACUUUCUGCUGUUAUAUCCUUGAUCUCUAGGGCUUGUGUAUCUUGAUCAUUACUCACAGUUUACAAGGAGUAAAUAUCUGUUCUGUUUAGGGUACGCAUGAUGCCUUUACUUCUGUUUAAGGUCAAAUUGUUGUUAGAGUGAGAUUUUAAUUAGACGAGCCACUCCUCUAGACUGUUUACACGAA